UACGUAGGUGGCAAGCGUUGUCCGGAUUUAUUGGGUUUAAAGGGUGCGUAGGCGGUCUUAUAAGUCAGUGGUGAAAGCCAACAGCUCAACUGUUGAACUGCCAUUGAUACUGCUUCACUUGAGUGCAGUUGAGGUGGGUGGAAUUCCAUGUGUAACGGUGAAAUGCUUAGAUAUAUGGAGGAACACCGAUAACGAAGGUAACUCACUAAACUGUAACUGACGCUGAGGUACGAAAGCGUGGGGAGCAAACGGG
rnacentral:rRNA from 1 species